rnacentral:rRNA from 1 species
CCUACGGGAGACUGCAGUGGGGAAUAUUGGGCAAUGGGCGCAAGCCUGACCCAGCAAAGCCGCGUGAAGGAAGAAGGCUUUCGGGGUGUAAACUUCUUUUGUCAGGGACGAAGCAAGUGACGGUACCUGACGAAUAAGCCACGGCUAACUACGUGCCAGCAGCAGCGGUAAUACGUAGGCGGCAAGCGUUAUGCGGAUUUAUUGGGUGUAAAGGGCGUGUAGGCGGGAAUGCAAGUCAGAUGUGAAAACUAUGGGCUCAACCCAUAGCCUGCAUUUGAAACUGUAAUUCUUGAGUGCUGGAGAGGCAAUCGGAAUUCCGUGUGUAGCGGUGAAAUGCGUAGAUAUACGGAGGAACACCAGUGGCGAAGGCGGAUUGCUGGACAGUAACUGACGCUGAGGCGCGAAAGUGUGGGGAGCAAACAGGAUUAGAUACCCUUGUAGUC